UACACUCCUGCGGGAGGCAGCAGUGGGGAAUAUUGGACAAUGGGCGCAAGCCUGAUCCAGCCAUGCCGCGUGAGUGAUGAAGGCCCUAGGGUUGUAAAGCUCUUUCACCGGUGAAGAUAAUGACGGUAACCGGAGAAGAAGCCCCGGCUAACUUCGUGCCAGCAGCCGCGGUAAUACGAAGGGGGCUAGCGUUGUUCGGAUUUACUGGGCGUAAAGCGCACGUAGGCGGACUAUUAAGUCAGGGGUGGAAUCCCGGGGCUCAACCCCGGAACUGCCUUUGAUACUGGUAGUCUUGAGUUCGAGAGAGGUGAGUGGAAUUCCGAGUGUAGAGGUGAAAUUCGUAGAUAUUCGGAGGAACACCAGUGGCGAAGGCGGCUCACUGGCUCGAUACUGACGCUGAGGUGCGAAAGCGUGGGGAGCAAACAGGAUUAGAUACCCGAGUAGUCCCAUGAU
rnacentral:rRNA from 1 species